rnacentral:rRNA from 1 species
UACGUAGGGGGCAAGCGUUGUCCGGAAUCAUUGGGCGUAAAGAGCGUGUAGGCGGCCCGGUAAGUCCGCUGUGAAAGUCCAGGGCUCAACCCUGGGAUGCCGGUGGAUACUGUCGGGCUCGAGUCCGGAAGAGGAGUGUGGAAUUCCUGGUGUAGCGGUGAAAUGCGCAGAUAUCAGGAGGAACACCAAUGGCGAAGGCAGCACUCUGGGCAUUACCUGACGCUGAGGAGCGAAAGUGUGGGGAGCGAACAGG